CCCGUCCUGCUGCAGCCUGCCCUGAGCUCCGGAAGCUGGUGGUGCCCCUCAGUGGAUCUUCACCCACAAGAGCACCUGCUGCAGACCAGUGACUUCAAAAGUGAAAUGACUGCCAAAAACUCCACGGCCUCCAAGUUUCUUCCUUCACAUCCAAGCAAGAGAGACUUCACAGUGAUGGACCAGCUAAGUCAUGUGCCCACUCCUGCCCAGUCCAUCACGCGGGUAGCAGAGUCCCUGAGAUGAUCGGCUUAGGCCCGAGGCCUUUCCUGAACACCCAUAUUUUCCAGCUCUUCAAGGGGAGCAUCUGCUGAACGGGAUGGGUGAAGUGAUGGGAAGCAGAGAAGCAGGCCUGCUCAUUGUGUGAUGGGGGAUGUGGGAGUGUCUGCGGGACACUGGCCGGAGCGUGUGUCUUUCACAGAUUGCACCAAGCCUGGGCGGGGAGUACAUGGUUCUGCACAGGGGUUGGGGUCUGUGGCCUUGGUACCUCCCCAGCCAGAAGAUCACACGUGCCCCUGGAUCUCACAGCCUCUUCAGGAACGAGCCCUGGACAGCACUGUCAACAAGAUGGGUGCUUGGUGCUUUCCCUGUUUUCUAUCAGAGAAGGUUCUGGUUUCUGAUGACUCCAACCUGCAUGCAGAUUACAUGCCAGCAGGGAGUUGAUGGCAACUGGAAUCGUGCCAACUUCACUUCCUACUGUGAUCCAACAGCCCUUGGCCUGCCCUCUAACCCUCUCCCCUCCAAAGUCGUCUCUCAAGCCUCAGUGGAACAAUCACAGCUCUUCCUCACAGCACAGGGCAACCUGGACCCGGUCUUACGGCUCUCCCAUCUGAUCUGGGAACUAGGACUGCUCAUCUACUAA
rnacentral:lncRNA from 1 species